CAGAAUUCAGAAAACAACUUCUUAAAGAAGUUCAUCUGAUUAAUCUUAAAUUAAAUGAUCUUAUGGAUAACGUGAAUAUACUUGUAAAAAAAGCCCAAUAUGCUGAUGAGCCAGAACUAAAUGAUGACACUAAUACGGCUGUUAUGACUUUAAUACAAUCGUUUCCAGUCGUUACAGAGCAGGAAUUAAUGUCGAUGGAAGAAUGGCUAUCGAGUUCAGCUGAUAACAUACAUGCACUGAGUCAUUAACUGCGUUUAAUUGGAGGCACAGAUCUUCCCCAUGUAAUCAAAGCCAUUAUGUCGAGAGCAAUUUCAAAUGAAGUUGGAAUGCUAUAUUCCUGGGAGGGAGCUCGGCAAAAAAAAGCUUUUAAAUCGCUAAAGUUCGUCCAAGUGAUCAUUGGUGUUGUUCGACUGAACUCCAAGACAAAAUCUGCAACAGAAUCGGAUAUCAUAGAAGUAAUAAAAAAUUGGCUAGUUAGAAGUAAAGAACGCAGUAACAAGUUUCAAUCAAAAAAGAAAACGGAAAACACUGUGUGUCAAACAGAUUCCGUUUGUGAAACAGGCUCUGCUUGUGAAACAGGCUCCGUUUGUGAAACAGGCUCCGUUUCUGAGAAAGACCUUAUUCAAGAUUAAGAUAAUUAUAUGUAUAACUUGCCGAUAUAU